GACCAUCCCUGCACAAGGCCACAUAAACCCAACCUUACAAUUUGCCAAGCAUCUUAUACGUAUUGGCGUACGUGUAACUUUCAUCACCUGCAUCUCCGCUCGCCACCGCAUGACCAAAGUCCCCACUGCUCAAGGCCUAACGUUUCUACCCUUUUCCGAUGGCUACGAUGACGGUUUUCAACCCGGCGAUGACGUGGACCGUUACCUAUCUGAAUUGAGGCGACGAGGCAAAGAAGCCAUCUCCGAGUUUAUAACAAGCGGUGAAAACGAAGGCAAACCCGUCACUUGCAUUGUCUACACCCUGUUCAUCCAUUGGGCCACGGAGGUGGCGCGUAAACAUCACAUCCCGACAGCUUUACUUUGGAUUCAACCCGCCACCGUUUUUGACAUCUAUUAUUUUUACUUCAACGGAUACGAAUCCACCAUUAAAGCUCAAGCUGAUGAAACAAACCCCAAGCGUUCAAUAAAAUUACCAGGUCUGCCGCUACUCGCCACUAGCGACCUUCCGUCGUUCGUCACCGCUUCAAACGUUUACCGUUGGGGACCGUCGUUGAUCCAAGAACAAAUGGACGUCCUCGCCGAUGAAUACAACCCUAAAAUCCUUGUUAACACAUUCGAUGCUUUGGAACACGAAACAUUAAACGCCAUUGAAAAUUUCAACAUGGUCGGCAUCGGACCUUUAAUCCCAUCUUCUUUCUUGAACUCAAAUGACUCCUUGGAUAAUUCCUUGAGAACCGAUCUUUUUCAAUCCGAUUCAAAAGAUUACUUCCAAUGGUUAGACUCCAAACCAAAAUCGGCUGUCGUUUACGUUUCCUUCGGGAGCAUUGCGGUGUUAACGAAGCAACAAGUGGAGGAAAUCGCUCGAGCUUUAAUAUCCAGCCGGCAACCGUUUUUAUGGGUGGUGAGGAACCGGAAAGAUGGAGGCGAAGAAGAAGAUAAACUGACUUGCAGGGAAGAAUUGGAACAGUUUGGGAGGGUGGUUCCAUGGUGUUCGCAAGUGGAAGUAUUGUCUCAUCCGUCGUUGGGUUGCUUCGUGACGCAUUGUGGGUGGAACUCGACGUUGGAGAGCAUGGUGGCCGGUGUACCGGUGGUGGCUUUCCCUCAAUGGACGGAUCAAUGGACUAAUGCGAAGCUGAUUGAAGAUGUGUGGGGGAAUGGGGUGAGAGUGAGUGCUAAUGAAGAAGGGAUGGUGGAAUGUGAUGAGAUCGUUAGGUGCUUGGAUUUGGUGAUGGGGGAUGAUGAGAAAGGGAUGGAAGUGAAGAAAAAUGUAGAGAAAUGGAAAGGGUUAGCCAGGGAAGCCUCCAUGGAAGGCGGCUCCAUGGAUAUGAAGCUUAAAGCUUUUGUGGAUGAUGUUGCUGAAGCUGGUUGCAAGUAAAUUUAUCAUUUUCAAAUAAAUUCACUGUUAUAAUAGCAGCUAUAAAUAUUGUAACUUCUUUAAUUUCUAAGUUUAUUUCUUUUUCCUUUCCAUCAUCUUUUGUAAAAAAAAAAAAAGUAAGAUUGAAAAGCCGAAACAAAAACUCCUCUUUUUAAGGACCCAAGAGGAGCUGGUCUGUUUAGUCUUUGAGCCCCACCUGUCAAUCUCAAUCUCAAUCAAUGCCACUCACUCGUUUCAUGUCCUAUCCUCGUCUUCCCUUCAUUAAUAUCACUCCACCUUCUAACUUAAUAACUGAUACAUGAUCUCAAAAAAAAAAAGAAAAAAAAAAAACCCAAAGUUUGAAUUCGGUCUAUGAGCUUCCUAAACAAAAUCAGGAUAUGUGAUUAAGCAUGGAUGCUUCCGUUAUCAUAUGGAUUAAGGGUGCCAGUCGGGCUUAUUACGCCCCUCAUCCAACUUUCACCAUUCGAUAUAUGAUUAUAACCUAACCAACAACAGUCAAAUGUGUUGUUGUCGUACCUCUAUCCCUUCAAAAAUCUCUUUACUGUUGCUACCCAUGUCUUCUUUGAUAUAUAUGCAUAUUUUUAACCUUACUGAGCUGUGGACUUCAUUUGAAGUGUAACCAAGUUUUUGCUUUUUUUUCUUUCUUCUUCUUGUGUUUCCUGAAUUUAUAAAUUUUUUUCGAUUGGCUUCUAUUUAUGUUUUUUCAAAGAUUAAUAAUUGAAUUUAAUUAAAAAAUAAUUAAAUUGGUAAAAUAUAUAAAUGUUGAGGACAAACUUCAGUAUUAUCCCUUUUAAUACCUUUCAUCGUACUGGAGCAGGUAUUAUCGUACCAUGAAACUUGAAUAAGCCACCACACAAGUUUAUGCGCAUGUGGUUUUUUCUGGUUGUAUUCUGCUACUAGUCCUUAUACUUUAUGAAAGUGAUGGAUUUAGUCCCAAUACUUCAAUUUAAUCACUUUUAGUCCUGCACUUUUCAAAAUGUUCAAUUUUAGUCCCUAUAUUUUCAGUCUUUUGAAAUUUUCGUCCUAAACCAAAUAAUAGUAGUUCAAUUUGUUUGUUUAAAUUCAAUUACUAGCAUGUAAUUGUAGAUUUAAUAUAUAUUAUCCAUUUUCUUUGCAAAGUCUGUGAAAAACAAAACGGAUUGUUGAGAACAAUCCAAACACUAUCAAACACAGUUUAAAAAAAAAAAAAACAGAACAGCCUAACAUAUACUACUAAGCAGACAAAAACACUUUAACAACAGAUUUCCCCGUUGUAUUCUGCUGCAGAAAAUAGCAGACCAUCCCAGCAGCAUCAUCCAUUCUGCUUCAGCAGCAAAUCACCAAGCAGCUUUAAAGAAGUUUUUCCUUGACAUGCCUGUCUUUGCUAAAGUUUCCGCCAUUCCACUCUUUUUUUGAUUAGUGAUUGCAAACUGGAUUUCGGCAAUAUGUCUACAUCCAUCUUCAAUUUCCGCAAACAACUUCCUUAGCGACCAUGGACGAAGAUUUCUAUAUUUCAACUAAUUCAAUACCGUAUUCAAAUCAAGCUCUAUAAUCAAAGGAAGUUGCACCUUAUGAAACAAAUUUGAAAACAUCUCUAUUGCUACUUUUAUAGCCAUCAGUACUACCAUUUCCAAACCCUCCACUGCACAGUUACCUGAAAAAGAGCUGAAACAACCCCUUUCUCGUCCCGCAACACCCCUCCGCAGCCCGCUCUUUCAUCCAAAGAAACCCCAGCCACAUUAAAUUUCAUCCAACCGCAAGGAGGUGGUUCCCUAUCCAUAACCCGCACAUUCCCCACCCUAUUUAACCAGACUGCUCUUCCUUGGCCACCCCCACCAAUCACUCUCUGUGAAAAUACAUUCCUCAUAGACCACUCUUGCCCAUACAAACGAUCUCAAUUUUGUUUGAUAAAUUAAGUCAAGUGUUGUAGCCUUACCUUCAAACACUUUCUCAUUACGAGAAAUCCAUCCUGACCAACAUGCUGCUGAUACUGCCAGUAACCAUAAACUUUUUUGAAUGCCAGACAAAGACACUCUCCAGCAAAAGGAAAAGAAUUCCUCAAAGUUUGCUACGUCCUUCCAUCUCAACCCCCACCAGCAAAAUAUAAGCGACCAGAAUCUUUUCACAAAGGAGCAUUCAAAAAACAAGUGAUUGGUAGAUUCCGCCACUCUCUCGCACCAUGGACACCCACUAUCCGAAGAGUUGAUAAUAAUUCCUCUACUAAUAAAAAAUUCUUUCGUUGGAACACGAUUAAUCGCCAUCAUCUAUAGGAAGCUACGCUUUCUUGGUGGGACUUUCAAUUUCCAGAUUCUAUCAAACUGAAAUUCUACCGUUCCCAUCCCAUCAUAAGAUAGGAGAGACACAUUCACGACAUUAGUUGCACGCCCAGCUACAAACGAACCUGGCUCGGAUACCAAAAAUGUAGGGAAAAAAUAGUCACAGAAGACUAUUGUCAAACAACGUGUAUGCAAGGAAAAUACUAAACUAUAGAAAAUUUAAAAAGAAAGAAAAGCUGAACUCAAAAUGACUGAAGUUGCUGUAUUAUUCACACACAAAAUGAAAUAAACGUAGGCCUAUAAAUAGCCUUUACACCAUAACAAACUAACGUAAAAAUGUGCAACACUAUUGCACGAUCAUAACAAAAAAUAGAGAAAUAAGGAAAUUAACAAACUAAGCAUAGCACAGCAAAUCUAAAUUUAGAAAAACCGACUUUGAAUCAUUCUCCAACAUCGAAAAUGGUGGAGGGCUGAAUCCAGAGUAAAGUUGACGGGAUGUGAUGUUUACGCGCCACCUCCGUAGCCCAAUGAAGGAGCAAAUAGUAGACAAUGCAAGUGAUGGGUUUACCUUCGUUUUCACUACUUGUUAUAAACUCAGAGAUGGCAUCUCUGCCUCGUCUCUUGAAUUCAGACAUGUAAUUGUCUGUGUCAUUGCCGGGUUUAAUUUCGUCGUCGUAGCUAUCCGAAAAAGGUAAAAACGAUAGGCCUUCAGCAGUGGGGGACUUUGGUCAUGCGACUGAUGACGGAGAUGCUGGUGAUGAAAGUUACACGUGCGUUGAUAGGUACAAGAUGCUUGGCGAAUUGUAAAGUCGGGUUUACGUGGCCUUGUGCAGGAUAGGUCACUACGAUGAAAUGAGGCUGUGACAUGAUGGUGACGGCGGCGAGUGUUGGCGCGUAAUUCGUGAAGGAAAUUAAUGGGUUUUUAUAGUGAAGAGAGGCAUUGAUAAAAGGUGAUGUUUGAGCUGACGAAUUUCAAAGAUUCCUAAACCUUGUUGGACUUAUCUGGUGUUUUUUCAAUGCUUAGGUUGCAGCUUGAUGCAUGAUGCUGUUAGAGAGAGUUUCAUACUACACGACUCUUUGGGGUUUGAAUUUAAUUCACCAAUUACAAUUUUAGUUAAACUAAACCCCAACACUAAACACGUAAGUUCAUAUUUGGUUAAACUACCUACCAAGUUAUCCAUCUAUGCCUAAACAUUUUUUUACUCACUCAAUUUUUUAAACUUUCAAAAUGGUCAUUCAAUUCAUUGGGUUCCAUUUUUUUAUCCAUUUCCAUUAAGCAUCGUUAAAUGCCUGGUAGGGUUAAUUUUUAAAAAUUAUGACUAAAUUGAUACAAUAUGUAAAAUUUGAGGAAAAAAUUUGUUAUUAUACUAAUAUUUAAAUAGUCACUUCAACUUUUUGUCAAACACUUAAUGGAAAUGGACCAAAAAAUAAAUCUGAUUAAUUAUGUGACCAUUUUGAAAGUUUUAAAAGUUGAGUGAAAAAAAAAACUUAAACAUAUUUAAUAGUAUUAAUGUGUCGAACAAUUAAAGUAUCCACUUGUCACAAUAUUAAACCCCACGUAUGAUUGUUUUCUUGAAUAUUGUGUAUAUUAUAUAUGAUAAAAGAUUGUAUAAAAUUAUCAUUCUACGUCAUCCCUAAGAAAAUGAUAAAUUAAAUUUUGUCUCUUACAAAAUUCAAAUUCAACUAAAAAACUAAUAUAGAAUCACAGUUUCAUAUAAACUUUUCUUUUAUAAUAUAUAGGUAUAAUAUAUAUAUUCCAUUUAGCAAUUGUUUUUAACUCUGGUCUUUUAAUUUGUCACAAACAAAAAUUUUGACUUCGAUAUUAAUACUAAAAUAAUAUUUGUCCUUGUAGCGGAAGAAUGUGUGUGACAACGUGAUAAAUAUUUUUCCAAACAAAAUCCAAAAGGAAUUAGGCAUCUUCAAAUUCGUCAGCCCAAACGUCACUGUUUUUCAGUGCCUCUCAUCACUUAUAAAAACACUUUGAUUUCCUUUCUUACUUACUCCAAAUCCGACGUUCGUACAAAAAGACCAGUAGAACUACCUACGUGCCGCCGUCACCACCAUGUCACAGCCUCAUUUCCUCCUAGUGACCUUCCCUGCACAAGGCCACAUAAACCCAACCUUACAAUUUGCCAAGCAUCUUAUACGUAUUGGCGUACGUGUAACUUUCAUCACCUGCAUCUCCGCUCGCCGCCGCAUGACCAAAGUCCCCACUGCUCAAGGCCUAACGUUUUUACCCUUUUCCGAUGGCUACGACGACGGUUUUCAACCCGGCGAUGACAUAGAACAUUACCUAUCUGAAUUGAGGAGACGAGGCAAAGAAGCCAUCUCCGAGUUUAUAACAAGCAGUGAAUACGAAGGCAAACCCGUCACUUGCAUUGUCUACACCCUGUUCAUCCAUUGGGCCUCGGAGGUGGCGCGUAAACAUCACAUCCCGACAGCUUUACUUUGGAUUCAACCCGCCACCGUUUUCGACAUCUAUUAUUUUUACUUCAACGGGUACGAAUCCACCAUUAAAGCUCCAGUUGAUGAAACAAACCCAAAGCGUUCAAUAAAAUUACCAGGUCUGCCGCUACUCGCCACCCGCGACCUUCCGUCGUUCGUCACCGCUUCAAACGUUUACCGUUGGGCACUGUCGUUGUUCCAAGAACAAAUGGAUAUCCUCGCUGAUGAAUCCAACCCCAAAAUCCUUGUUAACACCUUCGAUGCUUUGGAACAAGAAGCAUUAAAUGCCAUUGAAAAUUUCAACAUGGUCGGCAUCGGACCUUUAAUCCCAUCUUCUUUCUUGAACUCAAAUGACUCCUUGGAUAAUUCCUUGAGAACCGAUCUUUUUCAAUCCGAUUCAAAAGAUUACAUCCAAUGGUUAGACUCCAAACCAAAAUCGGCCGUCGUUUACGUUUCCUUCGGGAGCAUUGCGGUGUUAACCAAGCAACAAGUGGAGGAAAUCGCUCGAGCUUUAAUAGCCAGCCGGCGACCGUUUUUAUGGGUGGUGAGGAACUGGAAAGAUGGAGUCGAAGAAGAGAAAGAAGAAGAAAAACUGACUUGGAGGGAAGAAUUGGAACGGUUUGGGAUGGUGGUUCCAUGGUGUUCGCAAGUGGAAGUAUUGUCUCAUCCGUCGUUGGGUUGUUUCGUGACGCAUUGUGGGUGGAACUCGACGUUGGAGAGCAUGGUGGCCGGUGUACCGGUGGUGGCUUUCCCUCAAUGGACGGAUCAAGGGACUAAUGCGAAGCUGAUUGAAGAUGUGUGGGGGAAUGGGGUGAGAGUGAGUGCUAAUGAAGAAGGGAUGGUGGAACGUGAUGAGAUCGUUAGGUGCUUGGAUUUGGUGAUGGGGGAUGAUGAGAAAGGGAUGGAAGUGAAGAAAAAUGUAGAGAAAUGGGAAGGGUUAGCCAGGGAAGCCUCCAUGGAAGGCGGCUCCAUGGAUAUGAACCUUAAAGCUUUCGUGGAUGAUGUUGCUCAAGGUUGUUGGAAGUAAAUUUAUCAUUUUCAAAUCAAUUCACUGUUAUAAUAGCAGCUAUAAAUAUUGUGAUAGCAACAAUAUCAAUUCACUGUUGCAAAUAAAUUUUUAAUUUGUGUUUGUAUUAAAUGUAUGCUUUAAUUAAUUUUGGUGUAACGUUUAAGUUUUUUUAAAGAUUAAUAAUUAAAUUUGGGUAAAAUCAAAAAAUUUGGUUAACCGAUUGGAUUCGGUUAAUCGGUUGGUUAAUUAAAUUUUUUCGGUGAAGAGUCGAUUAAUUAUUUUCUCAUUUUCCGGUUAACGGCUAAUUCAGUUCGAAACCGGUCGGUUAACUGAAUUGUUUUGAUUUAAUCGAAAAAUUAAUAAAUAAAAUUAUAAUAUAUAAAUAGGCUCACUAUUCACCUAAGUCCAACCCAAACCCAAGUAUCCAACCUAACCCAAUCAAAUCAUAAAAAUUACAGAUAAUUUAUGUAUUAAUUUCAAGACUUAUGUAAUGUUUUUAAUUAUGUAGUGAUUCAAUUCGGUUAAUUCGGGUAAUUCGAGUAAUUCGGUUAAUUCGGGUAAUUUGGGUAAUUCGAUUAAUUUUUAACCAAAAAUAAAAAAUAUAUGAUUUUCGGUUAAUUUGGUUAACCGACUGAAUUAACCGAAAAGUUUUUGAUUCGGUUAGUUUUUAUUUUUUUAAAAUUCGAUUCAGUUAAUAGUUAAAAAUAUUGAAAGUUCAAUUAAUUCAAUUAAUAUUUUUUCGAGUCAGUGAACUGACUGAACACCCCUAGUAGCGGAGUAGGUAUUAUCAUACGAAUGAUAAGCCACCACACAAGUUUAUGCGGAUGUGGUUUUCUUGGUUUAAUUUUGCCACAAGUCCCUAUACUUUAUAAAAGUUAUGGAUUUAGUUCCGUUAUUUCAAUUUGAUCACUUUAGUCCUGCACUUUUCAAAAUGUUCAAUUUUAGUCCCUAUACUUUUAAACUUUUGAAAUUUUCAUCCUUAACCAAAAAAUAGUAGUUAAAUUUGUUUGUUUAAUUUCAAUUCCUAGAAAUGUACUAUACAUAUAAUUGUAGAUUUAAUAUAUAUUCUCCAACUGAAUCAUUUUAAGUCCCUAUUUUUUUCGAAUUCUAAAAUUUCCGUCUCAAUACAAAUGAUAGUCACCGAUCCAUUAACUAAAAUUUUAGUAAGUAAUAUGUGAAAAUAGCCAACUAAAAUGCUAGUACACACAUGAUGAUAUGUUUAUUGCAUCAAAUUUUAAAAAUAACAGAAUUUAAUGAAUUUAACAAUUAUUGUUUAGUGAUGACUUUUAAAAUUUAGAAAGUAUGAGCAUUAAAAGUGACCAAAUUAAUGUAUAAUUAAGAAUUAGAUCCACAACUUUUGUAAAGUAAGACUAAUAAUAAAAUUUAAUCUUGUUUUUUUCUUGAAAGAAAUUAAAAGUGACCAUUUAAGUAUUAUAUGUGCUAGGGAUGGGAGAUUAAUACGAAUCGUGGGAUGGAUUUUAAAUAGUUCGAAUUUUUUUUUUGUGUGUGUGGACAAUGAGUAAUUCUUUGCCCUAUAUAAAAGUAUCAUUUUAUCCAUUUAAUAUGUAUAACUAUUUAAAUGGUGAAAUACGAAAAUGCAUUAUAGAAAAGCCUUUAUGUUUAAUUUUUUUGAAACUGUUGUGGAAAACCUUAAAUGUGGUUAAUUGCCUUGCAAACCCUCCUUAUUUAUUAUUUUCUUUUUAUUCCCCUUCAACUCACUACAUUGUGUUUCAACAAGCUCUUAACCUAUUUUUGUAGUUAAAUAGGCCCUUAACUUAUGAUUUUUACUCAUAAAAUCUCUUUGUUUUAAUACUAAAGUAAAUAUGUUUUACUCAUAUUAAAGGGCUUUUUAGUAUUUUAGCCUAGACUGUAUGUUGUUGAACCUGGCACCUGCAUUGUAGAAAUUUUUUGAUUAUUUUCAAUGCUUAAGAACCAAUGAAAACAUAGAUGGAAGGCUAAUAUACUAAAAAGUGCUUAAACUAUUACACUUUGUUUAAGUAAGCUUUUGUACUAUUUUUGUCGUUAAAUAGGCCCUCAAACUAUGAUUUUUACCCAUGAAAGUCCUAAAUUUUAAUAUUAAAGUAAAACUAUUUAAAAAAUAUAUAAAUUAAUUCGCAUUUUAUGUUGAUGUGAAUUUGAUGAGAAGAGUUUAUUAAAUAAAAAAUUAAAAAUUAAAAAUUGUUGAGAGUGCUUAUAUGCAUGACAUGCUUAAUUACUAUUCUGAAAUUGCUGAUUACUUUUUUAGAUUUUAUGUUUAUGUUAAAGUGUAUAUAAUUUUUAUUGCAUCAACAAGAAAUUAAGAUAAGAGCUUGAAAUUCAAAAUAUAUUUACUUUAAUAUUAAAAUAAAAGGCUUUUAUGAGUAAAACUCAUAGGUUAAGAGUUUAUUUAACUACAAAAUUAAGUUAAGGGCUUGUUUAAACACAACCUAGUGAGUUGAAGGGGAAUAAAAAAUAAAAUAUAUAACGAGGGUUUACAAGGCAAUUAGCCACAUCUAAGCGGCACCCUUUCACUUCUUUUUCGUAGUCACUUAAAAUGGAAAAUUUGCAUUUUAAAUCCCUAAAUACUUUAAAUUAUUACAUUUCAGUCUGAUACAAAACAGUACAGUAACAAACAUGCCAUUUUGAUGUAUGUAUAUAUAUACUCGUUUUGCUAUUGUUUUUGACUUCGACUUUUAAUUGGUCACAAAAUUUUUGGAUAAUUUUUUUUAAAAUAAUUAUUUUAGUCCUUGCAGAGCAAGACAGCGGGAUGAAUGGUUUUCCACAAAAUCCAAAAGGAAUUAGGCAUCUUCAAAUUCGUCAGCGCAAACGUCACUGUUUUUCAGUGCCUCUCAUCACUUAUAAAAACACUUCGAUUUCCUUUCUUAGUUACUCCAAAUCCGACGUUCGUAAAAAAAGACCAGGUGAACUACCUACGAGCCGCCGUCACCACCAUGUCACAGCCUCAUUUCCUCCUAGUGACCUUCCCUGCACAAGGCCACAUAAACCCAACCUUACAAUUUGCCAAGCAUCUUAUACGUAUUGGCGUACGUGUAACUUUCGUCACCUGCAUCUCGGCUUGCCGCCGCAUGACCAAAGUCCCCACUGCUCAGGGCCUAACGUUUUUACCCUUUUCCGAUGGCUACGACGACGGUUUUCAACCCGGCGAUGACAUAGAACAUUACCUAUCUGAAUUGAGGCGACGAGGCAAAGAAGCCAUCUCCGAGUUUAUAACAAGCAGUGAAAACGACGGCAAAUCCGUCACUUGCAUUGUCAACACCCUGUUCAUCCAUUGGGCCUCGGAGGUGGCGCGUAAACAUCACAUCCCGACAGCUUUACUUUGGAUUCAACCCGCCACCGUUUUCGACAUCUAUUAUUUUUACUUCAACGGAUACGAAUCCACCAUUAAAGCUCCUGUUGAUGAAACAAACCCCAAGCGUUCAAUAAAAUUACCAGGCCUGCCGCUACUCGCCACUCGCGACCUUCCGUCGUUCGUCACCGCUUCAAACGUUUACCGUUGGGCACUGUCGUUGUUCCAAGAACAAAUGGAUGUCCUCGCUGAUGAAUCCAACCCCAAAAUCCUUGUUAACACAUUCGAUGCUUUGGAACACGAAGCAUUAAACGCCAUUGAAAAUUUCAACAUGGUAGGCAUCGGACCUUUAAUCCCAUCUUCUUUCUUGAACUCAAAUGACUCCUUGGAUAAUUCCUUGAGAACCGAUCUUUUUCAAUCCGAUUCAAAAGAUUACAUCCAAUGGUUAGACUCCAAACCAAAAUCGGCCGUCGUUUACGUUUCCUUCGGGAGCUAUGCUGUGUUAACGAAGCAACAAGUGGAGGAAAUCGCUCGAGCUUUAAUAUCCAGCCGGCGACCCUUUUUAUGGGUGGUGAGGAACCGGAAAAAUGGAGGCGAAGAAGAGAAAGAAGAAGAUAAACUGACUUGCAGGGAAGAAUUGGAACAGUUUGGGAUGGUGGUUCCAUGGUGUUCGCAAGUGGAAGUAUUGUUUCAUCCAUCGUUGGGUUGCUUCGUGACGCAUUGUGGGUGGAACUCGACGUUGGAGAGCAUGGCGGCCGGUGUACCGGUGGUGGCUUUCCCUCAAUGGACGGAUCAAAGGACUAAUGCGAAGCUGAUUGAAGAUGUGUGGGGGAAUGGGGUGAGAGUGAGUGCUAAUGAAGAAGGGAUGGUGGAACGUGAUGAGAUCGUUAGGUGCUUGGAUUUGGUGAUGGGGGAUGAUAAGAAAGGGAUGGAAGUGAAGAAAAAUGUAGAGAAAUGGAAACGGUUAGCCAGAGAAGCCGCCAUGGAAGGCGGCUCCUUGGAUAUGAAGCUUAAAGCUUUUGUGGAUGAUAUUGCUGAAGGAUAUCGUAAGUAAAAUUAUCACUUUCAAAUCAAUUCACUGUUUCAAUAGUAGUUAUUUAAACAGUUAUUAUCGUACCAUGAAACUUGAUUAGGUUUUGCCUUGUAGUAAACAUGCGAAGGACGACCCACCACACAAGUUUAUGCAGAUAUGGUUUUUUUUUUUUUUUUGUUUAAUUUUGCUACUAGUCUCUAUACUUUAUGAAAGUUAUGGAUUUAGUCUCAAUACUUUAAUUUGACCAUUUUUAGUCCUGCACUUUUCAAAAUGUUCAAUUUUAGUCCCUAUACUUUUAGUCUUUUGAAAUUUUAGUCCUGAACCAAAUAAUAGUAGUUAAAUUAUUUUGUUUAAAUUCAAUUACUAGUCAUGUCCUAUGUGUACAAUUAUAGAUUUAAUAAAUAUAUUUCCUAAUUGAAUCAUUUUAAGUCCCUAUUUUUUUCGAAUUCUAAAAUUUCCGUCUCGACACAAAUGAUAGUCACUAAUCCAUUAACUAAAAUUUCAGUAAGUAAUAUGUGAAAAUAUCAAACAGAAAUGCCAUUACACAUAUGAUAAUAUGUUUGUUGCAUCAAAUUUUGAAAAUAACAGAAUUUAAUGAAUUUAACAAUUAUCGUUUAGUGAAGGCUGAAAUUUUAAAAUUUAAAAAGUAAGAGAAUUAAAAAUGACCAAAUUAAAGUAUCAGUAUUAAAUCUGCAACUUUUGUUAAGUAAGACUAAUAAUAAAAUUUAACCUUAUUUUUUUCUUGAAAGAAAUUGAAAGUGACCAUUUAAGUAUAUAAUAUGUGAUUGGGAUUGGAGAAUAUGAAUGGUGUGAUAGAUUUUGAAUGUAGGAAACAAAAUUUUUUGAAAUGUGGUUGUAGGAUGGAGUGGGUUGGAUUUAUUUGUGUGUGGUCAAUGUAUAACUCUUUGCCUUUAUACUAUAUAAAAGUAUCAUUUUAUCCGUUUAAUAUGUAUAACUAUUUAAAUAUGUAGAAAUGUGAAAAUGUAUUAUAGAAAAGCCUUUAUGUUUAAUUUUUUUUAAAAUUUUAUGUUCUAAAGUCACUAAAUUAUUAGUAAAUUUAUGUUUUGAUUACUCAACUUCAAAAAGUUACAAAAUGGUCAUGAGUUAUUAGAAAAUUUUCAUUUCAGUUGUUCAACUAUUCAAAACUUUUUUUGUUUAAGUCAUUACGCUGUUAAGUUCUUUCUAAGUUCAAUUAAUGAGCUCCAACCGAUGAUUUAACAAUCGUAUGGUGGAUUAGUACUCAUCGACGAGUAGAGGAAAUCCCUUGAGAUUUUUUAUCCAGUCGGCAACCAUUUUCAUGGGUGGUGAGGAACUGGAAAGAUGGAGGCUACGAAGAGAAAGAAAAAGAUAAACUGGCUUGCAGGGAAGAAUUGGAACAGUUUGGGAUGGUGGUUCCAUGGUGUUCGCAAGUGGAAGUAUUGUCUCAUCGUCGUUGGGUUGCUUCGUGACGCAUUGUGGGUGAAACUCGACGUUGGAGAGCAUAGUGGCCAGUGUAUCAAGGGACUAAUGCGAAGCUGAUUGAAGAUGUGGGGGGAAUGGGGUGAGAGUGAGUGCUAAUGAAGAAGGGAUCAUGGAACGUGAUGAGAUUGUUAGGUGCUUGGGUUUGGUGAUAGGGGAUGGGGAGAAAGGGAUGCAAGUGAAGAAGAAUGUUGAGAAAUGGAAAGGGUUAGCGGGGGAGGCCGCCAUGGAAGGCGGUUCCUUGGAUAUCAACCUUAAAGUUUUUGUGGAUGAUGUUGCUCAAGGUUGUUGCAAGUAAAUUUAUCUUUUCAUAUAAUUAUCUACAUUUAUAUCUCGAAUUCUUAAAUCAAGAAAUAAUAUGUUUGAAAACGAUCAAAUUCCUUUUGUUGUAAUAAUAAUAAUAUCAAAUGACCUAAAAUUCGAUGAAAUGUUACAAAUUAAUUUUUAAUUUAUGUUUGUAUUAAAUUUACGCUUAAAUUAAUUUUGGGUUAUGGUGUAAGUUUUUUUUAAAAAUAAUUUUAAUGGUCAAAUUUAAUUAAUAACACCAUCAAUUGGAUUUUAAAUUUUAAGUCAAACAAGAGACAAAAGUUUAAAAAUUAAAAGUAGCGGAUUAAAUGUUAAAAAAAAUUGCAAAAGAGUACAAGAAUUGGGGGUAUACUUAGAAAAAAUAUUAAAAUUUUCUUUUCUCCUCCAAUAGUAGAAUCUAAAGUUACGCACCUUUAUAAAAUUAAAAAAGAGUUAAUUGUCCAAGAUAAAUAUUAAAUAAUAAUAUUUAUAGACUCGAGUACAUGAAAUUUAUUGUUGGUCAUUGAAUUUAUCAUUUAACAAUUACUUUUGUUUUGGCUAUUGAGAAAAUUUUCUAGCCCUUAUAAUAUAUAUAUCUCCAUAUUAUUGGAUGUGUUACUUUUUAUUAAAUUACAUUGCCUAAGGUUGCUUAUUGCGAUUAUGGUAAUUUGCUGCAUCAUCCCCUGACUAAUUCUUCUCAUUUUUAGUGUUAGCAUUCUUCUGCUUAAAAUCUGGGUCUCAUGUUGCUUUUUGAGCAUCACUAUACCAUUCUCCUCUUUAACCCACCGAAAAAUCUAGUAGGAGCUUUUGCUUCCGAUUCUGGAGAAGUUUCCUCCCUCAAAAGUACCCUAUCGGCUUCAGGAGAUGCUGCCUCAUCAAAAGUGUAAUAGCCCGAAUUUGGGCCUAGUCGAAACAGUAGUUUCGGGACCACAAAUGUAAUAUUUCAAAAAUUUCUAUAGUAAGAUAUUAUCCUUGGUAUAGUAAAAUAAGGAAAUAAAGUAAAAAAAAAGGGGGAAAUUUUGAGUUAUGUCAACAUUGAGAAGUAUGACAUAUUAAUGCAAUAAAGGAUUAAAUCGCAAAAGUGAGAAAAGUAUUGAGGGAUUAAAGUGUAAAUAUGAAAAAGUUGAAGGACCAAAGGUCUAAAUAUUUUAAGGGUGGAAUGAUCUAGAAACUAAGGAAAAUGGAUGAAUUAGGACCAAAUUGAAUAAGAUAAGAAUUAUGAGGGACUAAAUCGUAAUUUUACCAAAUUAAGUGUGACUCAAUGAUGGAAUUUUAAAAGAUUAUGAAGGGCAAAAUGGUCAAUUAGAAGAGAGAGAAAUCUAGAAGGCAAUGAUGAUGUUGGUGAUAUUUUAGAUUAAUUAAUUAAAUAAAUAUUAGUUCAUUAAUAUUUUAAUAUGAUUUUUAAAUGAUAUUUUAUUAAUUUAUUAUUAUUCUAUUUAGUAUAUAUAUGAAAGGAAAGAUGAGGAAUUAUCAUCUUCUUCCCCAUGCAACCAACGUAUGAAGAGGAAAGAAAGAAAGAAACUUUCUUUUCUUUACAAUUUGGUCCUUUUAUAAAAAAUUCACCAUUUUCGCUUAGAAAUUAAAAGAAUUUCCAUAUCCAUCAAGAGAGAAAGAUAACAAGGAGACUAUGGGGAGCUAGAAUAUCAAGUUAGAUUCAAGAAAUAGAAGCUGGAGGAGGGAGAAAAUCAAGUUAAAGAUUGAAAUCAAUUGAGCAAGGUAAGAAUAUCAAGAUUUCAAUAUAUUUUUGAGUUUGAUAUUAUUGAAAAGGCAUGAAAUUGAUGUUAAUGUAGAGUUUUAUUAUAUAAGGUUUUAUGUUCUUGGUAUGUUAGUGAAGAGAAAAUAAGAGAAAGUGAUGAGAAAUAGUGUAGAGAAAGAAAAUAAGAGUGUUAUAAACUUAGUAAUCAAUAUUUUACACUAAAACAGUUUGGACAGCAGCAGUAGGUUAACUUUGAAAAAUCCCCAAAAAUUGUGGGAAUUGAAUUAGAAGAUGAAUAAAAUAUGAAAUUAAAGCUUAUUGAGUCUAGUUUCUCAUAAAAGAAAUGGUGUAAGCAAUAGAAUUUUAAAUCAUGAUAUAUAAUAAAUUUUGUGAGACAAUAUCAGAAUGAUUUUGGGUUCCCCUGUUCUAACUUUGGAAAAUCAUAAAAAAUUGAAGAAAAAUAAUUAUGAGUUAUAAUUUAUAUGAUUAGAAUCCUUAAUAAAUCUAUUUUCAAAUUAAAUAAACAUAAAAAUCAUCCAAAUUCUGUACAAUUAGAUAAUUCAUUUUUAGUGAAGAGUGGUCGGAACUGUCAGAUAGAAAAAUAGGGGAAACUUUAAAGAAUAAACUGUACUAUUUGGAUGAACCAAAAAUUCUGAAAAUUUUAUGGCAAUAAGAUAUAUGAGUCUAGUUUCAGGGAAAAUUAAUGGAUCUUAAUUUGGAUUUCUAUAGCUCAAGAUAUAAAUGAUUUAGUAACUAUGACUCAAAUGGACAGCUUUGAAUAAAUUUACAAGAAAAUAGUGAAAUUAUAGAUAAUGUUACUUAUAAGCAUGUUAUGUAAAUUAAGGAUGUGGAAUGGAGAGUGUACAAGCCCAAUUUUUGACCCAGGGCCCAAUAACAAAUUUUAACCUAAAAAAACUACCCAGGCCCAACUAGCCUAACCCAAUCAGCCCAAAACAUAAACACCUAGCAGAAACCCUAGCCCCCUGUUGUGCCGCACCUGCUCCUGGCCGCCUCACCUGCUCCGCCGUUCACCUGCUUUCUGCCAUUGCCCAACUGCCCACCUGCAAACGAGUAAAGAAAGCAGCAACAACAACAAUGAAAAGAGGAGAAAUGACAGUGGUGUAAAAAAAAAAUGGGUACACAAAUGGGUAUAUAAAAAAGGGCGGGGAUCACCGAAAGAGGGUCUUUUCCUUUUCUUUUGUAAUUUUUUCACAACACAACAGUUAAUGAAAAAAGGCAGAGAAAACAUUUAAAGGUGGAUUCAGACUUUUUAUUCUUUUUUUUGUUUGUUUUUAUGUUUGCUUGUUUAUAUAUAUAUACGAAUCUAUCUCAACAAAAACGAAAAUAAAAAAGAGAAAGAGAGAAACUCACCGGGGGGCUUUGAAAACCCGUCAUCGCGCUUCGCCGGCCGUCGAUCUGGUGGCCGUGCGGCGGAUGUGCGAACGGUGGCAGCUAAGGAGGGCUUUUAAAAAAAACCCUAACAGAGAAAAAGCUAGAGGCUUUUUUGUUUUUUUUUAUCUGCUAUUACAAAGUGUAUUUUUUAGGGGAAAUUUUAAUUUAAAUAGGAUCAGCUAAACGGCGCCGUUUUGGGUGGGAAAACCCCCGCGCGCGACCCGACCCGCGUCUCAGGAUCCACGUGUUUUGAUGAUUGGGUUAUUUACCCAUUUGGCCCUUCCGCCCUUUUGGGGUGUUUCAAUCUAGUCCUAUUUACAUUUUUAGAUUUUAUAAUUUUCGCCCAAAUUAUUUUUAGCGUUUUUGAUUUAGUCUUGCACUCAUAGAAUGGACACGUGUCCUAAUAAUUGGGAUAUUUUCCGUUUUGGCCCUCCGUCCUUUCGCGCGAGUCACAUUUUGGUCCUUUUCGUCCUUUUUAUUCCAAAUUCGCCCGGUAUUUCCUUUUUUUAUUUUAUUUCGAUUUAGCCCUUUUUUAGUCGCUUUAUUAUUUUGUUUAUUUUAUUAUUAUUAUUAUUAUUAUUAUUAUUUACUAUUAUUAUCUUUACUAUUAUUGUUAGUAUUAUUACUACUAUUAUUAUUACUAUCAUUAUAUUUACACCUAUAUUUACUUAUAUAAAUCUUAGAUAAUAGGUGAUAUAUUAUAUUAUUAUAAAAUUGCGUAUAUACGUACAUGUAUAUGUAUUCUUUUAACUAAUUUUAUAUAUACAUACAAAAUCAUAUUUUCGUAUAUUUUUUAAUUUGUAUAUACAUAUACUUAUAUCUAUAUUUUCUAAUUUUUAUAAAUAUAUUUAUAUGUACAUACUUAUAUUUUUUAUAUACUUUCUAAUUCGUAUAUACCUAUUUACAUCUAUAUUUUUAAUAUAUUUUAAACAUAUAUAUAAAUAUCACUAUUUACUUUUUUAUUUUUAUUUUUUAUUAUUAUUUUCAAAUUUUGAUGUAUACUUACAUAUAUAUAUCUUUACAUUUUUAUAAUUUUAUUCAUUUAUUUAUUUACAUUUUCAUUAUUAUUUUGAACGAAUGCUUUAAUUUUAUUUGCUUGUAUACAUUGCUAUUUCGUAUGUUAUUGGUCUGUACCUUUUAUUUUUCUUAUUUUCGUUGCUAUUACUUGCAUUGUUUUUACAUCAUCGUAUUCAUAUUUAUUUAGUUACGCAUAUUAACAUCGUAUCUUAUUUUUACUGUUUCGUGAAAAAAAUAUUUCAUUCAAUGUAUGAAUUAUAACUUUUUGAGUAAACAAAAUUUCGUGUUUAGAUUUGAGAAAGUCGUACCCUAACUUACUGGGUUUCGACUUUCACAACAAAUCUAAAGACACGAAUCUUUUUAAACUCAAAUUUUAAAUGAUCUCGGGAUUAAAAAUCGCGUCCUAACUUACUGGUCGUGAUCUCAUUUUCAAAUCCGAGAUGGCUAAACCUAUCUUUUAAAUAAGCAUUUUUAUUCGCGUAUCGAGAACUCGAGACGUUGUAUCCUAACUCACUGGAUAUGAUGUCUUUUCUCGAUUAACGUGAAAUAUGCCACUUUUUCCAAGAUUUUCAACUUUUUAAUACAAAGAUCAUAUUUUUAAAAUUCUUUUAAAUUAUCAAUUUUCGACAUUAAGACAUUAAGUAAUCAACUAGGUACCAAUUUUGGGCGUAUCGAGGGUGCUAAUCCUUCCUCGUGCGUAACCGACUCCCGAACCCGUUUUCUAAAUUUCGUGGACCAAAACCGUUGUUUUAAUAAAAUCAAACCGUUUAUUAAAAACAACCCCUCUUCGAGGUGAUCCAAUCGCACCUCAUAAAAAAAAGAGGAUUGGUGGCGACUCCCGUUUCUUUUUUCAAAACCCAAGUCAACCCCGUUUUUCAUCCAAAAAAUGGUGUCAACAGCUUGGCGACUCCACUGGGGACACAGAUAAGAGGGUCAAGCCACGUGGUGAUUACUUUUUGUCUUUUGUCAAAAAUUGAAAAUUCGGUUUAAAAUUACGAUCCUUUCAUCGCAUUUUAUCUGUCUUUAUCAUAAUCAUCACCAUUAGGGUUUAUAUUUGCUCUGUUUGUUUAAAUUUUGGUAUCUUUCCGCAUUUCAUUGCAUGACCGUUGGUCACACCUUUAAGUGGGAGUGAGAAGCUACGCCUUCGUGAGGUUUUCACCUCCGCAUGGGAUAGUGAAUCGCUUUCGGGAUAUAUCCGUACCUAUGUCUUCGUGAGAUUUUCAUCUCCGCAUGGCCAUAGAGAAAUGUAUCCCCCUGAAUCGAACUUGGUCCGUAUGAGCCUAUAAUGGGUGAGGAUCGAGGAAUUUGCUGGUUCAGGUACCCUACUUUAGAACCAAACCACAUGUAAUGAGCCAUAGGAACCGACCUAGGUAGAGCUACUCCAAAUUUUUAGUGCUUACCUAAAUGAAUGUUGUAUUUAUUUGUCGCUUAUUUUAAAUCUUAUUCUGUGUUUAAUGUUAAUUUACUUUGUUUGUGAUUGCAUGGCAUCUUCAUUCUAAAAGAGGUGUCGAUUUACGUUCAGUUUCUUGGUAGAAAGCUUAUCAUGGAAAAGGGGUUUGUUGAUAAAGUAGAGGAUAAUGCGGCUGUGCAAAUAUGGGCUGAAACGACACAACGAGAGAAAGGCGAUAGUCUUACCGAAGGGUACGUGUCAGAAUUGUGGGAUUUUACCCGUAUCAGUGUAAUCCAGAAUGACCUUCGAGAAAUGAAAGAAGUCUGGGAUCAAUGGGAUGUCGAGGCCAAGCAGCUGUUCUAUUGUAACUACGGUGACCUACCUUAUCUGCUUAGUGUCAAAGUGGACAAGUAUUUAUUCCGAGCCCUUGCUCAGUUUUGGAAUCCUGCCUACAGUUGUUUCACUUUUGGGAAGGUAGAUUUGACGCCUACUGUGGAGGAGUAUACGACCUUGCUUCGGUGUCCAAAGAUUCAAGUCGACAAGGCUUAUUCCAAAGCUGCUUGUGUCCCUCCGUUGUUAAAGAAAUUAAUGAACAUCACUGGGAUGAGCGAGCAGUGGGUCGCUGUCCGGAUCCAACAGAAGAGCGACAGUAAAUGUGUUCCUUGGAAAAGUUUGCGAGAUUUGGUGCUUGUACAUCCUGACUUAAAGAAAAGGGUCGAUAUCUUCGCUUUAGGUAUCUAUGGACUAGUGGUUUUCCCCAAAGCUUUAGGACACAUAGACGAGGCUGUAUCUGAUUUGUUUGAUCGGCUUAGUAAAGGGGUUACACCGGUUCCGGCAAUACUCGCUGAAACUUUUAGAUCCUUGAAUGCGUGUCGAAAAGCAGGGGAGGGAAGGUUUAUUGGAUGCGCACAGCUCUUAUUGGCAUGGUUCCAUAGCCACUUCUGGAAAGUCGAAAAGGUCUCUUAUCGGGUAUUCUCCGAUAGCUACUCCCCUCUAGGAGAAUUGGUGGCCACGCCAAGACGGGAUGAUAUUUCAGAAGAAAAAUGGAUAGAGAUACUCCAGAAUCUCCAAGAUGAAGAUAUUGAAUGGAGGGCUCCUUGGUUAAUUCCUGAUGAGAUAUUGUACCGAUGUGGAGAUUUUGACUGGGUUCCGCUGCUCGGGAUAUGGGGAGCUAUCGGAUAUGCUCCUCUACUCGUAUCAAAACAGUAUAGAUCACGACAAUUCAUACCAGCAACCCAGGGGUUAGCUUAUAGUGAUUUUUCCUAUAGGGAGGACAAUUACAAGAAGAAGGUUCGAGAAAUAUCUAGUGCCUGGAACCAGACUCGUCGAAUGAAGAUCUUAGCCGUGGGUCCGACAAUUACCCCCGAGUAUGGUCAGUGGCGUGAUCAAAGGAUCAACGACAACAUCCCGGCGUCAAAUCCAGAAACUGCUCGAUCUUUGGAGGAACACUUACAAGUUUUGCCUUCUGAGAUAGAAAUCAUCAAACAAGAAUUCGAAAAAAGGAGUUUAGAAUUGGGGAAGAAGAUAGAACAACUAGAGGAAGAAAAAAUGCAGUUAGGACUGGAUGUGGACAUUCAAAGAUUAGAGGCCAACAAAUUGAGAAAAGGAAAGAACAAAGCAGAAGAAGAUUUGGACAGCCUGAAGACAGAUUACAAGAAGUUGCGUAGGUCGGUAAGAGCUGCUGGCUUGGGUAAAACGCCAGAACAAUGGCGACAAGAAAUUCAGGAGGAAAAGACGAAAGCUAAUCAAUGGGAAAAGAAAUUUCAGGAUACUCGGGCUCGAGAGGUCGCCUUGGGAAAGAGUCUACUAGUUUGCCAAGACGAGAAGACGGAGUUGAAGGUCCGGAUAACCGAACUAGAAAGAUCGCUUCACCAGUACUGUAAUCGUAAUGCUACGGUUGAAUUAAGGGCGAGCUUAGACAAAAUUGAAUAAUUAAAAAGACAAAUAGGAGGGCUAGAGAACGCAUUGCAAAAUAGUGAAAUCCGGAUAGAGCUUCUGGAAGAAAGUAAUGAGCAGUGGCAAAGACAAUUCCGUCGGUCUCAAGAGCAGAUUGGAGAAAGAGAUUAUAUUAUGGGAGAGGCGGUGAGUCAAGUGCGCGAAGUAGCUGAUCAUCUGUAAACUCUAGCGGUUCAGGCUGAUCUAUUAAGUUUGAAGUAUGAGUCAGAGUCGGACAGGGGCCGAGAAUUAGCUUGACUUCUUAGAAAGGUUAAGGCUUUGAGUGUGAGGGCAAAGCCAUAUAUGUAGUCUAUUUUAUGUAAAAAAACUCUUUAUCUAGUAAAGUUUUCUAAUGAAGUUGAAUUAGAAUCAGUGCCUCUUUUUCUUUGCAUCCUUUUCAUGCAUUGCAUCACAUCACAUGCAUUAAUGACCAUUAAAAACCUAAUCGAAUAAAAUCAUUUCAGUUAACCUGGAAAACCAACAAAGUUACGGCACCCGAGCUAAGACAAAAAUUAUGGACCAAAGGUUGGAGAAGCUAGAGCGACUUCAAAGAGAAAUGCAAGACCAGUUGCAGGCGCAAAUGAAAGAGCAAAUAGAAAAGAUUCAGCGUGACAUGGUGCAAAAGAUGGAGGAGUCCCAAAAUGAUCUGGUGGCUAAGAUGACGCAACUAUUGAAGGGAGUAGAUAAGGGUAAAGGUCCUGUGAUUGUUAGUGAAGAAGAAAACAAUGGUGAACCACUUUAUCCUCCAGGUUUCACGCCUCCGCAUGCGCAAGUACAGACUGAGCUGCAUCCGCGGAGACCCUCUGUGUCGGUUAGGCCCCAGCAGUUCCAAGGCGAUGCUUCAAUCCCAAUGAAUUUUCAACCCGGAGCGGGCCUUAAUCCCGGUGAUAGCCCGAAUAAUAUUGCUGUCCCAGAUCUUGACGAGAUGGUUGAAAAGGAUAAGGCGAAGGAGGAAUUUCCAAAACAAUUUGAGGAGAAAUGGAAAUGGAUAGAAGAGAAGUUUAGGGCAAUAGAAAGCAUCGAAAGCUAUGGAAUAGAUGCAAAGGAUCUAAGCUUGGUUCCGGACUUGGUGCUCCCUUACAAAUUUAAGAUGCCGGAAUUUGAGAAAUACAACGGGACUAGUUGCCCAGGAUCCCAUAUUACUAUGUUUUGUAGAAGAAUGACGGGGCAUAUUAAUAAUGAUCAAUUAUUAAUACAUUGCUUUCAGGAAAGUCUUACGGGAGCGGCGUCAAAGUGGUACAAUCAGCUGAGCCGAGCUAAAAUUGCUACUUGGAGGGAUUUAGCACAGGCUUUCCUGAGACAAUACAAUCAUGUCUCAGAAAUGAUGCCUGACAGGAUAACUCUGCAAAAUUUAGAGAAGAAAUCGAACGAAAGCUUCAGACAAUAUGCGCAGAGGUGGCGAGAGGUGGCAGUUCAGGUGCAACCACCGCUUUUGGAAAAAAAGAUGACGACGCUUUUUAUUAAUACUUUGAAAGCCCCGUUCAUCACUCACAUGUUGGGAAGCGCUUCAAAAAAUUUCUCGGAUAUAAUCAUGAAUGGUGAAAUGAUUGAGCAUGCCAUUAAAAGUGGAAAAAUAGAUGGAGGAGAAAAUAAUAGGAGGGCACCCUUGAGGAAAAGAUAAAAUGAAGUGAAUAAUGUGAAUGCUUAUGGUAGGUCAAUUACCGUGAAUCAACCAAAGAAAGUGGUUGCUAAUCAACAGGGAUCAUCAAGACAAGAGUCGGGAGCUAGGUAAACUACUGAAAAGCCCCAAUUCACGCCAAUCCCGAUGUCAUACAAAGAGUUGUAUCAGACUUUAUUCGAUGCACAUGUUGUUGCUCCUCGUUACUUGAGUCCUCUACAACCCCCGUAUCCAAAAUGGUAUGAUAUGAACGCGCAAUGUGAUUAUCAUGUGGGAAUUUCUGGGCACUCGAUAGAAAAUUGUACUGCCUUCAAGAAGGUAGUAGAAGGACUUAUCAAUUUAGGUGUCGUCAAACUUGACGACUCACCUAAUGCAAAGAAUCCGUUACCUAAUCACGCAGAUAAGGGGGUGAAUAUGGUUAGCGAAGAUACGGGAGAAGAAGUCAAGACUGACAUUGCUGAAGUAAAAACUCCAUUGAAACGGGUCUGGAAAGAAAUGGCGAAAAGAGGUUUGGUUAUUUCAGAUUCUGAGGAAGGGCAUGAGAUGGGAAAUUAUUGUGAAUUUCACCAUAAAACAGGGCACGAAAUCCAAGAAUGUGAAGGAUUUAAGGCUUUGGUUCAAAGCAUGAUGGAUAACAAGGAAAUGAGGUUUUACGAAGAUGCGAAAGAAAUGAGGAGCAUAUGCGCGACAGAGUUGGGAACAAAGGCUCCAAAAAUAAAUCAUCCUGUGGUCAUUAUCUCACGCCCUAAGGGUAAUGAGGUUAGGGCUCAGGUAACACCGAAAAUUGUAAUCCAGAAACCAUCAAAUUUCUCUUAUAGGGAUAACAAAAUGGUGCCGUGGAAUUACGGGUGUAAUGUGACCAUUUUGGGAAAAGAAGCAGAAAGAAAUCAGGAAAUAGGUUCUUACACGCGUAAUGGAAAAAGAUGUGACGCUCAAGCAGAGUCGUCCAGGGAAGAGAAUUGGAAGAAAGAACAGAGGAAAGGGAAAGCAGUAGAAGUUGAACCAUUGGUAAAUGAACCAAUAAAAGAAGAGGAGGCAAAGGAGUUUUUGAAGUUUUUAAAACACAGUGAAUACAAUGUUGUGGAGCAACUGCACAAACAGCCAGCCCGCAUUUCUGUAUUAGCUUUACUCUUAAACUCAGAAGUACAUCGGAAUGCACUAUUAAAGGUGCUAAACGAAACAUAUGUGGCUGACGAUAUUUCGGUAAACAAGCUGGAUCGACUGAUCAACAAUAUUGGUGCUGACAAUUUUAUCUUCUUCAGUGAUGAUGAAAUACCAUCCGGAGGAAGAGGUUCUACUAAAGCCCUGCAUGUUACUGUCCGAUGCAAAGGGUACACACUCCCGGGGGCCUUGGUUGAUAAUGGAUCUGCACUAAAUGUAUUGCCUUUGUCCACUCUUAGUCGAUUACCAAUAGACAGUUCGCACAUGAAAGCAUGCCAGAGCAUAGUAAGGGCAUUUGAUGGAACAAAAAAGGAGGUUAUGGGGAGAAUUGAGGUACCAUUAAGGAUUGGCCCAGUCACUUAUGAGGUGGAUUUCUUGGUAAUGGAUAUUAAACCCUCCUACAACUGUCUAUUGGGGAGACCGUGGAUACACUCAGCAGGGGCAGUACCUUCAUCAUUACAUCAGAAGGUGAAGUUGGUAUCGGAGGAUCGGUUGGUAACAAUAGAUGCAGAGGAGGAUAUUAUCGCAAUGAUGACUAGCGAUGCACCUUAUGUGGACAUCAACGAUGAGACACUAGAAUGUUCUUUUCGGUCGUUAGAAUUUGUGAACGCGAUGUUUAUUGCGGAGGGAAAUAGAAUUCCAGUACCGAAAAUAUCCAGGACCACUGAGAUGGGAUUGCGAUUGAUGGUAGGAAGAUGAGCCUUACCCGGGAAAGGAUUGGGAAAAUAUCUUCAGGGAAGGAUUGAGGCACCAAUGCCGAAGGAAAAGUUUGAUAGAUUUGGUUUAAGGUACAAGCCAGACAUGAAGCAGAAGAAGAAAGAAGUAGAGAAGAGACAAGAGAGAAGAAGGGCGCGUUUGAAUGGACAUGAAGCUAAGUGUGAGCCUUUAACCUUUCCCCACAUAUCUACAUCUUUUGUGUCGGGAGGAUUUAUUCAUUCUGAAUGUGGAGUGUCCGGUAGCGGCAUGGGAGGAAUGUUGGAAAACGUUUAUACUAACGCCAUAGAAGCAACGGAAAGGAGGGCUUUGUUGGAGAUCUGCCCUUAUGAGCCUGGAAGCGAGCUAAACAAUUGGACUGCUGAAGAAAUCCCUGUAGUCUUUAGGGCUUAUUCAGAGUAAUGCUCAAAACAUUCCUGUUGUUUGUUGGCCUAGAAACGAUAUGAAAUCUUUUGUGAAAUAGGCAUUGGGCCUAAAUAUCAUUAUUUUAAUGAAAUACGUGUCUACGUUCAUCUCGAUCAGUCACUUUUUUCUUUUAUAUUUUUCAUUUGGUUGAUUGUCUUACAAAUAAUUCUUUCAUUUAUAAUUCUUUUGCACAAACAUAUUCAUAAAUUUAUAUUCUUAGUAUAUUCUUUGAUCUGCCCUCAUAGGUCUUCAGAUAUCAAUGACAUGAGUGACGCUGCCUCAAACGCGGAGCCUAUUUUUGAGCAAGAAGUGUGUUCAGAGGGAUCCCACGACUUUGAAAAUGACGAAGAUUAUGAUGCAUCUCCGGACUUGUUAAGAAUGAUGGAACAAGAGGAUAAGCAUAUCCUACCUCAUAGGGAAUCGUUAGAAAUAGUGAGCCUAGAGGAUGGAAAUGAGGUGAAAAUUGGAACUGAAAUCACCGCAAAGACAAGGCAAGACCUCAUUAAUUUGCUCCGAGAGUUCAAGGAUGUUUUCGCGUGGUCGUACCAAGAUAUGCCUGGGCUAAGUACUAACAUUGUGGUGCAUCGUCUGCCCAUAAAGGAGGAUUGUAAACCCGUUCAACAGAAGCUUAGGAGAAUGAGACCUGACAUUGUGUUGAAAAUAAGAGAAGAAGUCAAAAGACAAUUCGACGCUAGUUUCUUACAAGAGGUCAAGUAUUCGGAUUGGGUAGCCAACAUCGUCCCUGUUCCCAAAAAAGAUGGAAAGGUACGAAUGUGUGUGGAUUAUAGGGAUUUAAACAAGGCUAGUCCAAAGGACAACUUUCCACUGCCUCACAUUGAUACUUUGGUAGAUAACACGGCGGGCUAUUCAUUGUUUUCUUUCAUGGACGAUUUCUCUGGAUACAAUCAAAUAAAGAUGCAUCCUGGAGACAUGAGGAAAACCACAUUCAUUACCUUAUGGGGAACAUUCUGUUACAAGGUAAUGCCCUUCGGAUUGAAGAAUGCGGGAGCAACGUAUCAAAGAGCUAUGGUGACUUUGUUUCACGACAUGAUGCACAAGGAGAUCGAAGUCUAUGUUGACGAUAUGAUCGCGAAGUCUAGAACGGAAGAAGAGCAUGUUCAGGUCUUGAAAAGGUUAUUUUUGAGAUUAAAGAAAUUUCAGCUCAAGCUUAACCCGGCCAAAUGCACGUUUGGAGCCAGAUCAGGGAAGUUAUUAGGCUUCAUAGUUAGCAAAAAGGGGAUCGAGGUUGACCCAGACAAAGUAAAGGAAAUACGAGAUUUACCUCCCCCGCGCACUCAGAAGGAGGUUCGAGGUUUCCUAGGGAGGCUGAAUUACAUUGCUCGGUUCAUCUCACAACUGACAGAGAAAUGUGAUCCAGUAUUCCGGCUCUUAAAGAAACAUAAUCCGGGCGAAUGGAAUGAAGAGUGUCAGAGGGCUUUCGAUAAGAUAAAGCAGUACUUGGCUAAUACUCUAGUCUUAUCACCUCCAAGUCCAGAUAGGCUAUUGAUAUUGUAUCUAACAGUGUUGGAGAAUUCCAUGGGAUGCGUAUUGGGCCAACAUGAUGAGACGGGAAAGAAAGAAAGGGCAAUAUACUAUCUCGGUAAGAAAUUUACCGAUUGCGAAAUGAGGUACUCAUCAAUUGAGAAGUUGUGUUGUGCUCUAAUCUGGGCAACCCGAAGACUGAGGCAGUAUAUGUUGUAUCACACAACUUGGUUGAUUUCAAAGUUAGAUCCUUUAAAAUAUAUGAUGGAAUCGACUGCUUUGAACGGGAGAAUGGCUAGAUGGCAGAUCUUGCUCUCAGAAUUUGAUAUAGUAUAUGUCAGUCAGAAGGCCAUAAAGGGAAGUGCAAUAGCCGAUUUCCUAGCUAGUAGAGCCUUGGAGGACUAUGAAUCUUUGAACUUCGAUUUUCCAAACGAGGACUUGAUGUAUGUGGCGAAUACUGAAGAAAAUCCUCAAAUGGAUCACGUAUGGAAGUUAAAUUUUGAUGGAGCUUCAAAUGCUACGGGUAAUGGAGUUGGGGCAGUUUUGGUAUCCCCAAGUGGAGAUCAUUAUCCUGUUGCUAGCAAGUUGGACUUCGAUUGUACAAAUAACAUGGCAGAAUAUGAAGCAUGUAUUAUGGGCAUUCGUGCAGCCAUUGAACGGAACAUCAAAGUACUGAGAGUAUACGGGGAUUCAGCGUUGGUGAUAUACCAACUCAAAGGGGAGUGGGAGACUAGAGAUCCUAAGCUGAUCGGUUAUAGAAAACUAGUUCUUGAAUUGGCUGAGGAGUUUGACGAUAUCACCUUCUAUUACCUCCCACGGGAGGAAAACCAAAUGGCUGAUGCAUUAGCUACUCUAGCUUCGAUGAUUCAGGUGAAUAGACUUGAGGCAAUGAGGCCUGUUCAGAUGAGUAUCUCUGAGACCCCGGCUAAUUGCUGCAAUAUUGAGGAGGAGGGAAAAGAUGAUUGUCCUUGGUAUCGGAGUAUCUUACAAUAUGUGAAGAAUCGGGAAUACCCUGAUCAAGCGACAGAGAAUGACAAAAGAACUCUGAGAAAGAGCAGAUCGAAGACACUAUCCUAUCUCCCUGAAGUUACAGUGGAGCGGAUUAAAAUAAAGGAUCUUAUCUCUCUGAGGUUACAGCAGAGUAGAUCGCAUCAAGUCUUAUUUCCCUGAAGAUGCAGUGGAACAGACUGAAAACAAUAAGGCGUGUCUCCUUAAAGUUGUAGCGGAGCGGACAGAAGAUAGUGAUUCUUAUCAUGUCUAAUCUUAUUCCCCUAAAGUUGUAGUAGAAUAGAUGGAAGCGAAGUCACAAACCUUGUCUCUCUGAAGUUGCAGUAAAGCAGGUUGAAGUCACGAAUCUUAUCCCCCUGAAGUUGUAGUGGGGCAAGUUGAAGAUAUGAGUCCGAUCUCCCCGAAGUUGCAGUGGAGCGGGUCAAAAUGAUGGACCUUACCCCCUGAAGCUACAAUAGAGUGGAUUGAAGCUACAAGUUUUGUCUUUUGGAAGUUACAGUGGAGUGGGUCGACGCAACAAGACACAGUGGACUAGAAUAAAGUUACUUGAAAAGAAGCGUCAAGAGAAGUCAAUACUCGGCAAAGACUGGACAAAAAUUGGUCUUUCUUAGUCUUUGCUCUGUUAUCGUUACACGACAACGAGCAAAGAGGGGCAGCUGUACAAGCCCAAUUUUUGACCCAGGGCCCAAUAACAAAUUUUAACCUAAAAAAACUACCCAGGCCCAACUAGCCUAACCCAAUCAGCCCAAAACAUAAACACCUAGCAGAAACCCUAGCCCCCUGUUGUGCCGCACCUGCUCCUGGCCGCCUCACCUGCUCCGCCGUUCACCUGCUUUCUGCCAUUGCCCAACUGCCCACCUGCAAACGAGUAAAGAAAGCAGCAACAACAACAAUGAAAAGAGGAGAAAUGACAGUGGUGUAAAAAAAAAUGGGUACACAAAUGGGUAUAUAAAAAAGGGCGGGGAUCACCGAAAGAGGGUCUUUUCCUUUUCUUUUGUAAUUUUUUCACAACACAACAGUUAAUGAAAAAAGGCAGAGAAAACAUUUAAAGGUGGAUUCAGACUUUUUAUUCUUUUUUUUGUUUGUUUUUAUGUUUGCUUGUUUAUAUAUAUACGAAUCUAUCUCAACAAAAACGAAAAUAAAAAAGAGAAAGAGAGAAACUCACCGGGGGGCUUUGAAAACCCGUCAUCGCACUUCGCCGGCCGUCGAUCUGGUGGCCGUGCGGCGGAUGUGCGAACGGUGGCAGCUAAGGAGGGCUUUUAAAAAAAACCCUAACAGAGAAAAAGCUAGAGGCUUUUUUUUUUUAUCUUCUAUUACAAAGUGUAUUUUUUAGGGGAAAUUUUAAUUUAAAUAGGAUCAGCUAAACGGCGCCGUUUUGGGUGGGAAAACCCCCGCGCGCGACCCGACCCGCGUCUCAGGAUCCACGUGUUUUGAUGAUUGGGUUAUUUACCCAUUUGGCCCUUCCGCCCUUUUGGGGUGUUUCAAUCUAGUCCUAUUUACAUUUUUAGAUUUUAUAAUUUUCGCCCAAAUUAUUUUUAGCGUUUUUGAUUUAGUCUUGCACUCAUAGAAUGGACACGUGUCCUAAUAAUUGGGAUAUUUUCCGUUUUGGCCCUCCGUCCUUUCGCGCGAGUCACAUUUUGGUCCUUUUCGUCCUUUUUAUUCCAAAUUCGCCCGGUAUUUCCUUUUUUUAUUUUAUUUCGAUUUAGCCCUUUUUUAGUCGCUUUAUUAUUUUGUUUAUUUUAUUAUUAUUAUUAUUAUUAUUAUUAUUAUUUACUAUUAUUAUCUUUACUAUUAUUGUUAGUAUUAUUACUACUAUUAUUAUUACUAUCAUUAUAUUUACACCUAUAUUUACUUAUAUAAAUCUUAGAUAAUAGGUGAUAUAUUAUAUUAUUAUAAAAUUGCGUAUAUACGUACAUGUAUAUGUAUUCUUUUAACUUAUUUAAUAUAUACAUACAAAAUCAUAUUUUCGUAUAUUUUUUAAUUUGUAUAUACAUAUACUUAUAUCUAUAUUUUCUAAUUUUUAUAAAUAUAUUUAUAUGUACAUACUUAUAUUUUUUAUAUACUUUCUAAUUCGUAUAUACCUAUUUACAUCUAUAUUUUUAAUAUAUUUUAAACAUAUAUAUAAAUAUCACUAUUUACUUUUUUAUUUUUAUUUUUUAUUAUUAUUUUCAAAUUUUGAUGUAUACUUACAUAUAUAUAUCUUUACAUUUUUAUAAUUUUAUUCAUUUAUUUAUUUACAUUUUCAUUAUUAUUUUGAACGAAUGCUUUAAUUUUAUUUGCUUGUAUACAUUGCUAUUUCGUAUGUUAUUGGUCUGUACCUUUUAUUUUUCUUAUUUUCGUUGCUAUUACUUGCAUUGUUUUUACAUCAUCGUAUUCAUAUUUAUUUAGUUACGCAUAUUAACAUCGUAUCUUAUUUUUACUGUUUCGUGAAAAAAAUAUUUCAUUCAAUGUAUGAAUUAUAACUUUUUGAGUAAACAAAAUUUCGUGUUUAGAUUUGAGAAAGUCGUACCCUAACUUACUGGGUUUCGACUUUCACAACAAAUCUAAAGACACGAAUCUUUUUAAACUCAAAUUUUAAAUGAUCUCGGGAUUAAAAAUCGCGUCCUAACUUACUGGUCGUGAUCUCAUUUUCAAAUCCGAGAUGGCUAAACCUAUCUUUUAAAUAAGCAUUUUUAUUCGCGUAUCGAGAACUCGAGACGUUGUAUCCUAACUCACUGGAUAUGAUGUCUUUUCUCGAUUAACGUGAAAUAUGCCACUUUUUCCAAGAUUUUCAACUUUUUAAUACAAAGAUCAUAUUUUUAAAAUUCUUUUAAAUUCUCAAUUUUCGACAUUAAGACAUUAAGUAAUCAACUAGGUACCAAUUUUGGGCGUAUCGAGGGUGCUAAUCCUUCCUCGUGCGUAACCGACUCCCGAACCCGUUUUCUAAAUUUCGUGGACCAAAACCGUUGUUUUAAUAAAAUCAAACCGUUUAUUAAAAACAACCCCUCUUCGAGGUGAUCCAAUCGCACCUCAUAAAAAAAAAAGAGGAUUGGUGGCGACUCCCGUUUCUUUUUUCAAAACCCAAGUCAACCCCGUUUUUCAUCCAAAAAAUGGUGUCAACAGAGAGGAGGAGGAAAAUAAAUUUAUGAAUAUUAUGCUCGCAUGGAUUUGCAUUUCAAAUGGUUAAUUUGCAUGAUUUGGGCUCGAGGACUAAAUUGAAUAAAAGUAAAACUUUAGGGGUAAUUUUGGAAAAAUGUCAAAAAAUGACUAAAUUCCAUGAAAUGAAUUGUUUUAUUAUUUAAAUUACUAAAUUGAAUGAAAUAUUAAUUUAGAUCAAUAUUGGGUGGAAAUUCGUGAAAAAUAGAAAUUUUUUAAAAUGUCCCUGAAUUUUGGUAUUUCUGCAAUUUAGCCUGGUAAGUUCUUAUGAACUAUAUUUUGUAUAAUUUUAAUUGAAUUGAAUGCUAUUUGGUAAUGAAUAUUAUAUAUAUAUGUGUGUUUGGAAUUGAUUUAUUAUUGGAUGUUUUGAAAUGAUUAUCGGAAGCUCGAUUGGGUUGGAAGCUUGUUGGAGAUAUAUCACAUUGUCCAUUGGUUCUAUCGGAAAUUUUGGAUGAUUUGAUUCUGGUUAUUGUAUAAGUUAAAUUGGUUAAUGUUAGCUCAUAAAAGUUUUGAUUUUGAUUGGUUAUAAAUAUGAAUGCUUGAUGAAAUGAAAUGUCUGAAAAUUAAUUUGUAAACUCCGAUAAUGCUCUAUAACCCUAUUCUGGGGAAGGAUACGGGUUAGGGGUGUUACAAAAAGCCUUCUCCUCUUGCCCUAUUACGGAUUGGAUUGAGAGCACCAAAGCCAAUGAGAACACAACCAAAAAAAACUUUUGCCAUCCUUUUUAUUUUCUAAAAAGGUUAAGAAAUAAGUAAAGAUAUAUUUUUAUUGAUGCUUAAGGAUGAAGAUGAGACAAAAUUUAAAGAUUUUAAAAUGAGACAUUUUGGGCGAAUUUAGGGGUCGUUGACUAGUCCAGUGCCUAAUAGCCAUACACGACAAAAAUACAUAUAACUUCUCUCCACAUUUUCAAUGGUGAUGUUUAUCACUAUUAUUGGUGGGUUCAAUUUACUUCACUUUGUUUCACUUGAAGACAUUGUGGGUGAUCAUUAAUGUGUUUUAAAAUCAUUCUGACCUUCCCUGUUUGCAUCAUCUGCACCAAUAAAAAACACUCCUUCUCCUUUUAUAGGUCAAUUUUUUUCAUGAAGCAACUUUAAACGUUACUAAUUUGUGGACCAAAAUCUAAAUAGCUUUCUUCUUCUAUAAUGAAGAUUGACUGUUAAAAAGAAUGUUCUUCUACUUGUCUAUAGGUAUCGAUCAUAGCACUGAUUGCCAAAUCAUUGCUUAGAGCUUGCUACCUAGACUUUUCAAAAAAAAAAGUCAAAUGACUAGGCCCGUUCUUGACAUUUUUGAGACCCUAGGCGGAACAAUAAAUUGGGGCCCCUUUUAAAAAAAUUAAAAAAUGUUAUGCAACAAAUAAAAAAAAUUGAGGCCAUUUUUUGAUCCCGUAAGAGCUUCUACUUUUGAUUCUGGAGAAGCUGCCACCCUUGAACUCAACAGUACCCUGUCAGCUUCCAAAGAUGCUGCCUCAUCAAAAGCCUUCUCCUCUUGUCCUACUACAAAUUGGAUUGAGAGCACCAAAGCCAUUGAGAACACAACCAAAAAAACCUUCACAAUCUUUUUUAUUUUCUAAAAUGGUUAAGAAAAAAAAAGUAAACAUAUAUUUUUAUUUAUGCUUAAGGUUGAAAAUGAGACGAAAUUUAAAGAGUUUAAAAUGAGAUAUUUUGGGCGAAUUUAGGGGUGGUUGACUAGUCUAGUGCCUAAUAACCAUACAUGACAAAAAUACAUAUAACUUUUCUCCACAUUUUCAAUGGUCAUGUUUGUCACAAUUUUUGGUGGUUUAAAUUUACUUCUUUUUGUUUCACUCGAAUACGUCGUGGGUGAUCGUUUAAAUUUUUUUAUUUUAUAAUUUUCACAUAUUUUUUUCAUUUAUUUAAAAUUUCAACCAAACAAAUUUUCUCAAUUUUUUUUCUACUUUUAGGAAAACAAAAAGAAAAAGAAAUCUUUAAUUUCUGAAACUAAAUAUACCCUAAACCUUUGCCUCCGACUCAUAAGAUAUUAAGAAUAAGGUAAUUAUUUGGUACACACGAAAUGUAAGUUUUUUAUUCCACAUAUGAAGUUGGGAUUUUGCCUCUUAUCAUAUAUAUAUUUAAUUUUUUGAAUAUAAAUUAAAUAAUAAAUAAUAAAAUCUCAACUAUAUUUAUGAAAUAAAAACCUUUCACCGUCACACCGAACAUUUCCCCUCGUGAUAUCACAAUAGUCUUUGUAAUCAUACUGACAAUCAUAAUGACAAAAGAAAGAAAAAGCUACGGGAUAUGAUAUUCACUACCCUCCAGUUAUGAGACUAUACAUAAUAUCGAUUGGAAGAAAUCGAAUUCAUAAAAAAUCCUACAAACUUAAUAGGUGUUUUUUUCAAGUAAGAAUAAUAAAUUUAGGGUCGAAAUUAAAUAGUAAUUUUUAUGAUAGUAAAAAUAUAAAUUUUAAAAGAUUAAAUCAAAAUUUUAUCAUUUUUAAAAAGUUAAAGUGCAACUUUCCUUUUACUAAUUUAAAAUUUUAAAAAUUUCUAAAAAGUCUAAAAGUAAAUGAUAAUAGAAUAAUUCUAAAAUCUGUCAUAUGCGCCAACUUGAGUUCUUGCGUCAAAUAUUUCGUGCUAUUUGCAUAUCCGCUCAUUUCUCGACACAUUGCAUAAUAAUUAUAAUUACUUAGAACAUGAUUAAAUGCCAAAUUAGAUAAAAUCCAUGUCAAAAAAUAAUCAAAAUAAAUAAUAAAAAUAUAUCGAUUAGCUGCAUUAUCAAUGUGUAAACCUAAUUUAAUGUCAAACUUAAAAGUUAAAAAUUUUCUUAUAUAUAAUGGUCAAACUAAAUUAUUGUUAAAUAUUAUAAAUAUUGAUAAUUAAUAAUAGUGUCCACACAUGAUUUUAAUAUUAAUGGUCAUAAUGUGUCAAACAAUUAAAAUAUUGACUUGUAAGAUUGUUUCCUUAAAUAUUGUAUAUAUUCGAGUUUUGCUAUUGUUGGGAGAAAAAAGUGAAAGGGUCUCGGCUCUCAGUAGUGUUGUGGAACUAAACUUUAAAUGUGGCUAAUUGUCUUGCAAGUCUUCCUUAUUUAUUAUUUUCUUUUUAUUCUCCUUCAACUGACUACAUUGUGUUUAAACAAACCCUUAAUCUAUUUUUGUAGUUAAAUAAGCCCUUAACUUGAUUUUUACUCAUAAAAUCCAUUUAUUUUAAUAUUAAAUUAAAUAUGUUUUACCCAUAUUAAAGGGCUUUUUAGUAUUUUAGCCCUGCUAGACUGUAUGUUGUAGAACCUGACACCUACAUUGCAGAAAUUGUUUGAUUAUUUUCAAUGCAUAAGAACCAAUGAAAACAUAGAUGGAAGGCUAAUAUACUAAAAGGUGCUUAAUCUAUUACACUUUGUUUAAACAAGCUUUUAUACUGUUUUUGUAGUUAAAUAGGCCCUCAAACUAUGAUUUUUACCCAUGAAAGUCCUAAAUUUUAAUAUUAAAGUAAUACUAUUUAAAAAAUAUAUAAAUUAAUUCGCAUUCUAUGUUGAUAUGAAUUUGAUGAGAAUAGUUUAUUAAAAAAAAUAAAAAUUUAAAAUUUGUUGAGAGUGCUUAUAUACAUGACAUGCUUAAUUACUAUUUUGAAAUUGCUGAUUACUUUUUUAGAUUUUAUGUUUCUGUUAAAGUGUAUAUAAUUUUUAUUGCAUCAACAAGAAAUUAAGAUGAGAGCUUGAAAUUCAAAAUAUAUUUACUUUAAUAUUAAAAUAAAAGACUUUUAUGUGUAAAACCCAUAGGUUAAGAGCUUAGUUAACUACAAAAAAAAGUUAAGGGCUUGUUUAAACACAAUAUAAUGAGUUGAAGGGGAAUAAAAAGAAAAAAUAUAUAACGAUGGUUUACAAGGCAAUUAGCCACAUUUAAGCGGCUCCCUUUCACUUCUUUUUCCAAUAGUCACUUAAAAUGGAAAUUUGCACUUCAAAUCCCUAAAUACUUUAAAUUAUUACAUCUCCGUUUGAUACCACUUGACACUAACAAAACAGUACAGUAAAAAACAUACCAUUUUGAUGUAUAUAUAUAUUCGGUUUUGUUAUUGUUUUUAACAUCGGCUUUUAAUUUAUCACAAUUUUUGGAUAAUUUAAAAAAAAUAAUAAUUAUAUUUUAAUUUAACAUAUAGAAAUUAAUGAGUCCUUGCAAAGCAAGAAUGUGUGUGACAGCGUGAUGAAUUUUUUCCCACACAAAAUCCAAAAGGAAUUAGGAAUCUUCAAAUUCGUCGGCCCAAACGUCACCCUUUUUCAGUGCUUCUCAUCAUUUAUAAAAACACUUCGAUUUCCUUUCUUUACUCCAAAUCCGACGUUCGUAAAAAAAGACCAGGUGAACUACCUACGCGCCGCCGUCACCACCAUGUCACAGCCUCAUUUCCUCCUAGUGACCUUCCCUGCACAAGGCCACAUAAACCCAACCUUACAAUUUGCCAAGCAUCUUAUACGUAUUGGCGUACGUGUAACUUUCAUCACCUGCAUCUCCGCUCGCCGCCGCAUGAGCAAAGUCCCCACUGCUCAAGGCCUAACGUUUUUACCCUUUUCCGAUGGCUACGACGACGGUUUUCAACCCGGCGAUGACAUAGACCAUUACCUAUCUGAAUUCAGGCGACGAGGCAAAGAAGCCAUCUCCGAGUUUAUAACAAGCAGUGAAAACGAAGGCAAACCCGUCACUUGCAUUGUCUACACCCUGUUCAUCCAUUGGGCCUCGGAGGUGGCGCGUAAACAUCACAUCCCGACAGCUUUACUUUGGAUUCAACCCGCCACCGUUUUCGACAUCUAUUAUUUUUACUUCAACGGAUACGAAACUACCUUUAAAGCUCAAGCUGAUGAAACAAACCCCCAGCGUUCAAUAAAAUUACCAGGUCUGCCGCUACUCGCCACCCGCGACCUUCCGUCGUUCCUAACCGCUUUAAACGUUUACCGUUGGGCACUGUCGUUAAUCCAAGAAAAAAUGGACGUCCUCGCUGAUGAAUCCAACCCCAAAAUCCUUGUUAACACAUUCGAUGCUUUGGAACACGAAGCAUUAAACGCCAUUGAAAAUUUCAACAUGGUCGGCAUCGGACCUUUAAUCCCAUUUUCUUUCUUGAACUCAAAUGACUCCUUGGAUAAUUCCUUGAGAACCGAUCUUUUUCAAUCCGAUUCAAAAGAUUACCUCCAAUGGUUAGACUCGAAACCAAAAUCGGCCGUCGUUUACGUUUCCUUCGGGAGCAUUGCGGUGUUAACGAAGCAACAAGUGGAGGAAAUCGCUCGAGCUUUAAUAUCCAGCCGGCGACCGUUUUUAUGGGUGGUGAGGAACCGGAAAGAUGGAGGCUACGAAGAGAAAGAAGAAGAUAAACUGACUUGCAGGGAAGAAUUGGAACAGUUUGGGAUGGUGGUUCCAUGGUGUUCGCAAGUGGAAGUACUGUUUCAUCCAUCCUUGGGUUGCUUCGUGACGCAUUGUGGGUGGAACUCGACGUUGGAGAGCAUGGUGGCCGGUGUACCAGUGGUGGCUUUCCCUCAAUGGACGGAUCAAAGGACUAAUGCGAAGCUGAUUGAAGAUGUGUGGGGGAAUGGGGUAAGAGUGAGUGCUAAUGAAGAAGGGAUCGUGGAACGGGAUGAGAUCGUUAGGUGCUUGGAUUUGGUGAUGGGGGAUGAUGAGAAAGGGAUGGAAGUGAAGAAAAAUGUAGAGAAAUGGAAAGGGUUAGCCACUGGAGCCGCCAUGGAAGGCGGCUCCAUGGAUAUGAACCUUAAAGCUUUUGUGGAUGAUAUUGCUGAAGGUUGUCGUAAGUAAAAUUAUCACUUUCAAAUCAAUUCAAUGUUUCAAUUCAAUUACCUGUAAUGUACUAUGCGUGCAAUUAUAGAUUUAAUAUAUAUUCUUUAAUUGAAUCAUUUUAAGUCACUAUUUUUUUCGAAUUCUAAAAUUUCCAUCUCGACACAAAUGAUAGUCACUAAUCCAUUAACUAAAAUUUCAAUAAGUAAUAUGUGAAAAUCGCAAACUGAAAUGCUAUUACACAUAUCAUAAUAUGUUUUGUUGCAUUAAAUUUUGAAAAUAACAGAAUUUAAUGAAUUUAACAAUUAUCGUUUAGUAAAGACUGAAAUUUUAAAAUUUUAAAAGUAAUAGAAUUAAAAAUAACCCAAUUAAAGUAUAAAUAUUAAAUCUACAAUUUUUAUAAAGUAAGACCAAUAAUAAAAUUUAAUAUUGUUUUUUUCUUGAAAGAAAUUGGAAGUGACCAUUAAGUACAAUAUGUGAUAGGGAUGGGAGAAUAUGAAUGGUGUGAUAGAUUUUGAAUGUAGGAAACAAACUUUUUUGAAAUGUGGUUGUAAGAUGGAGUGGGUUGGAUUUUUGUGUGUGUGGUCAAUGUGUAAUUCUUUGCCUUUAUAAAAGUAUCAUUUUAUCCAUUUAAUAUGUAUAACUAUUUAAAUAUGUAGAAAUGUGAAAAUGUAUUAUAGAAAAGCCUUUAUUUUUAAUUAAUGAGCUCUAACCGAUGAUUUAACAAUCAUAUGGUGGAUUAGUACUCAUCGACGAGUAGAGGAAAUCGCUUGAGCUUUAUUAUCCAGCUGACAACCGUUUUUAUGGGUGGUGAGGAACUGGAAAGAUGGAGGCUACGAAGAGAAAGAAGAAGAUAAACUGACUUGCAGGGAAGAAUUGGAACAGUUUGGGGUGGUGCUUCCAUGGUGUUUGCCAGUGGAAGUAUUGUCUCAUCGUCGUUGGAUUGCUUCGUGACACAUUGUGGGUGAAACUCGACGUUGGAAAGCAUGGUGGCCAUUGUACCAGUGGUGGCUUUCCCUCAAUGGACGGAUCAAGGGACUAAUGCGAAGCUGAUUGAAGAUGUGGGGGGAAUGGGGUGAGAGUGAGUGCUAAUGAAGAAGGGAUCAUGAAACGUGAUGAGAUUGUUAGGUGCUUGGGUUUGGUGAUGGGGGAUGAGGAGAAAGGGAUGCAAGUGAAGAAGAAUGUUGUGAAAUGGAAAGGGUUAGCGGAGAGGCCGCCAUGGAAGGUGGUUCCUUGGAUAUCAACCUUAAAGUUUUUGUGGAUGAUGUUGCUCAAGGUUGUUGCAAGUAAAUUUAUCUUUUCAUAUAAUUAUCUCCAUUUAUAUUUCGAAUUCUUAAAUCAAGAAAUAAUAUUUUUAAAAACGAUCAAAUUCCUCUUAACUGUUGUAAUAAUAAUAAUAAUAAUAUCAAAUUAAUGAUCUAAAAUUCGAUGGAAUGUUACAAAUAAAUUUCUAAUUUAUGUUUGUAUUAAAUUUAUGCUUAAAUUAAUUUUGGCCUAUGGUGUAAGUUUUUUUUAAAAAAAUUUUAAUGGCCAAAUUUAAUUAAUAACAUCAACAAUUGAAUUUUAAAUUUUAAGUCAAACUAAGAGACUAAAAUUUAAAAAUUAAAAGUAGUGGAUUAAAUUUUUAAAAAAAUUGCAAAAGAGUACAAGAAUUGGAGGUAUACUUAAAAAAAAUAUUAAAAUUUUCUUUUCUCCUCCAAUAAUAGAAUCUAAAGCUACGCACCUUUAUAAAAAUUAAAAAAAGAAUUAAUUGUCCAAGAUAAAUAUUAAAUAAUAAUAUUUAUGGACUUGAGUACAUGAAAUUUAUUGUUGGUCAUUUAAUUUAUCAUUUAACAAUUACUUUUGUUUUGGCUAUUGAGAAAAUUUUCUAGCCCUUAUAAUGUGUAUAUAUAUAUCUCCAUAUUAUUGGAUGUGUUUCUUUUUAUUAAAUUACAUAGCCUAAGGUUGCUUAUUGCGAUUAUGGUAAUUUGCUGCACCAUCCCCUGACUAAUUCUUCUCAUUUUUAGUGUUAGCAUUCUCCUACUUAAAAUCAGGGUCUCAUGUUGCUUUUUGAGCGUCAUUAUACCAUUCUCCUCUUUAACCCGCCGAAAAAUUCUGCUUUCGAUUCUGGAGAAGCUGCCACCCUUGAAGUCAAAAGUACCCUGUCAGCUUCCAAAGAUGCUGCCUCAUCAAAAGCCUUCUCCUCUUGUCCUACUACAAAUUGGAUUGAGAGCACCAAAGCCAUUGAGAACACAACCAAAAAAACCUUCACAAUCUUUUUUUAUUUUCUAAAAUGGUUAAGAAAAAAAAGUAAACAUAUAUUUUUAUUUAUGCUUAAGGUUGAAAAUGAGACGAAAUUUAAAGAGUUUAAAAUGAGAUAUUUUGGGCGAAUUUAGGGGUGGUUGACUAGUCUAGUGCCUAAUAACCAUACACGACAAAAAUACAUAUAACUGUUCUCCACAUUUUCAAUGGUCAUGUUUGUCACAAUUUUUGGUGGUUUAAAUUUACUUCUUUUUGUUUCACUCGAAUACGUUGUGGGUGAUCGUUUAAAUUUUUUUAUUUUAUAAUUUUCACAUAUUUUUUUCAUUUAUUUAAAAUUUCAACCAAACAAAUUUUCUCAAUUUUUUUUUCUACUUUUAGGAAAACAAAAAGAAAAAGAAAUCUUUAAUUUCUGAACCUAAAUAUACCCUAAACCUUUGCCUCCGACUCAUAAGAUAUUAAGAAUAAGGUAAUUAUUUGGUACACACCAAAUGUAAAUUUUUUAUUAAGUUGGGAUUUUGCCUCUUAUCAUAUAUAUAUAUAUAUAAUAUAAUUUUUUGAAUAUAAAUUAAAGAAGAAAUAAUAAAAUCUCAACUUGAUUUAUGAAAUAAAAGCCUUUCACCGUCCUACCGAACGAACAUUUCCCCUCGUUGUAUCACAAUAAUCAUUGUAAUCAUAAUGACAAUCAUAAUGACAAAAGAAAGAAAAAGCUGUGGGGUAUGAUAUUCACUACCCUCCAAUUAUGAGACUUAUAAUAGAGGGGAAUUAAGAAAAAAAAUUUUAGAGUCGAAAUUAAAUAGUAAUUUUUAUGGUAGUAAAAAUAUAAAUUUUAAAGGAUUAAAUUAAAAUUUUAUUGUUAAAAAAAAAGUUAAAGUGCAACUUUUCUUUUACUAAUUUAAAAUUUUAAAAUUUUUUAAAAAGUCUAAAAAAUAAAUGAUAAUAGAAUAAUUCUAAAAUCUUUGUCAUAUGCGCCAACUUGAGUUUUUGCGUCAAAUAUUUCGUGCUAUUUGUAUAUCCGCUCAUUUCUUGACACAUUACAUAAUAAUUAUAACUACUUAUAACAUGAUUAAAUUCCACGUUCUUAAAAGUAGAUUAACUACCUACGCGCCGCCGUCACCACAAAAUAUUUUAUAUUCGGUUUUGCAAUUGCUUUUAACUUCGGUCACAAACAAAAUUUUUUACUUACACAAACAAAAUUUUUUACUUAGUUAUUAAUAAUAAAAGUGGAUUAUUUUAUUAAAAAAUAAUUUAUAUUUUAUUUACGUUGUAUAAUAAUUAUAUCUACAUAAAAAAUAAUCGAUUAAAUUUCAAAUUACGUAAAAUUUAUUUCCAAAAUUAAUUAAUAUAAUUCAUAAAAAUACUUCGUAUUAUCAAUGUGUCAACUUAGUUUAAUGUCAAACUUAAAAAAAUGUAUAAUGUGAACAUGGCUAAAAAUUUUCUUUUUUAGAUAAAACCUUAAAAUAAUAUUUUACGGAUUUUUACUUAUAUAAUAUAAAAAAUUGAAAUUAAUAACUAAAAUAGCAUGCCCAUGAGAUUAUUUACCAAAAUGGUAUGUUUACUAUGGUGUUUUACUGGUGCCUCUUGUCAAAUUAGCAGUACCAAACUGAAAUGUAAUGAUCUAAAGUAUUUAGGGAUCGCAAAUUUUUCAUUUUGAGUGGUUGUUGGAGACAAAAGUGAAAUGGUGUCGAAUGUCAGUAGUGUUGUGGAACUAGACCUUAAAUGUGGCUAAUUUGCUUGCAAGCCCUCAUUAUUUGUUAUUUUCUUUUUAUUCCCUUUCAACUCACUACAUUGAGUUUAAACAAACCCUUAACUUAUUUUUGUAGUUAAAUAAGUCCUUAACUUGAUUUUUACUCAUAAAAUCCCUUUAUUUUAAUAUUAAAGUAAAUAUGUUAUACCCAUAUUAAAGGGCUUUUUAGUAUUUUAGCCCUGCUAGACUAUAUGUUGUUGAACCUGACACUUACAUUGCAGAAAUUGUUUGAUUAUUUUCAAUGCAUAAGAACCAAUGAAAACAUAGAUGGAAUGCUAAUAUACUAAAAAAUGUUUAAACAAGCUUUUAUACUGUUUUUGUAGUUAAAUAGGCCCUCAAAUUAUGAUUUUUACCCAUAAAAGUCCUAAAUUUUAAUAUUAAAGUAAAACUAUUUAAAAAAUAUAUAAACUAAUUCGUAUUUUAUGUUGAUAUGAAUUUGAUGAGAAUAGUUUAUUAAAUAAAAAAUAAAAAAUUAAAAUUUGUUUAGAGUGCUUAUAUACAUGACAUGCUUAAUUACUAUUCUGAAAUUUCUGAUUACUUUUUUAGAUUUUAUGUUUAUGUUAAAUUGUAUAUAAUUUUUAUUGCAUCAACAAGAAAUUAAGAUAAGAGCUUGAAAUUCAAAAUAUAUUUACUUUAAUAUUAAAAUAAAGAGCUUUUAUGAGUAAAACCUAUUGGUUAAGAGCUUAUUUAACUACAAAAAAAAGUUAAGGGCUUGUUUAAAUACGAUAUAAUGAGUUGAAGGGGAAUAAAAAGAAAAUAAUAUAUAAUGAUGGUUUACAAGGCAAUUAGCCACAUUUAAGCAGCACCAUUUCACUUCUUUUUCCGGUAGUCACUUAAAAUGGGAAUUUGCACUUCAAAUCCCUAAAUACUUUAAAUUAUUACAUUUCAGUCUGAUACCACCUGACACCAACAAAACAGUACAAUAACAGACAUACCAUUUUGAUGUAUAUAUAUUCGGUUUUGCUAUUGUUUUUAACUUCGGCUUUUAAUUUGUCACAAAAUUUUUGGAUAAUUUUUUUAAAAAAUUAAUUAUAUUUUAAUUUAACAUAUAGAAAUUAAUGAGUCCCUACAACAAGAAUGUGUGUGAUGACAACGUGAUGACUGUUUCUCCACGAAUUAGGAAUCUUCAAAUUCGUCAGGCCAAACGUCACCCUUUCAGUGCUUCUCAUCAUUUAUAAAAACACUUCGAUUUCCUUUCUUAGUUACUCCAAAUCCGAUGUUAGUAAAAAAAGACCAGGUGAACUACCUACGCGCCGCCGUCACCACCAUGUCACAGCCUCAUUUCCUCCUAGUGACCUUCCCUGCACAAGGCCACAUAAACCCAACCUUACAAUUUUCCAAGCAUCUUAUACGUAUUGGCGUACGUGUAACUUUCAUCACCUGCAUCUCCGCUCGCCGCCGCAUGAGCAAAGUCCACACUGCUCAAGGCCUAACGUUUUUACCCUUUUCCCAUGGCUACAACGACGGUUUUCAACCCGGCGAUGACAUAGACCAUUACCUAUCUGAAUUCAGGCGACGAGGCAAAGAAGCCAUCUCCGAGUUUAUAACAAGCAGUGAAAACGAAGGCAAACCCGUCACUUGCAUUGUCUACACCCUGUUCAUCCAUUGGGCCUCGGAGGUGGCGCAUAAACAUCACAUCCCGACAGCUUUACUUUGGAUUCAACCCGCCACCGUUUUCGACAUCUAUUAUUUUUACUUCAACGGAUACGAAACUACCUUUAAAGCUCAAUCUGAUGAAGCAAACCCCCAGCGUUCAAUAAAAUUACCAGGUCGGCCGCUACUCGCCACCCGCGACCUUCCGUCGUUCCUAACCGCUUUAAACGUUUACCGUUGGGCACUGUCGUUGUUCCAAGAACAAAUGGACGUCCUUGCCAAUGAAUCCAACCCUAAAAUCCUUGUUAACACAUUCGAUGCUUUGGAACACGAAGCAUUAAACGCCAUUGGAAAUUUCAACAUGCUCUGCAUCGGACCUUUAAUCCCAUUUCCUUUCUUGAACUCAAAUGACUCAUUGGAUAAUUCCUUGAGAACCGAUCUUUUUCAAUCCGAUUCAAAAGAUUACCUCCAAUGGUUAGACUCGAAACCAAAAUCGGCCGUCGUUUACGUUUCCUUCGGGAGCAUUGCGGUGUUAACGAAGCAACAAGUGGAGGAAAUCGCUCGAGCUUUAAUAUCCAGCCGGCGACCGUUUUUAUGGGUGGUGAGGAACCGGAAAGAUGGAGGCUACGAAGAGAAAGAAGAAGAUAAACUGACUUUCAGGGAAGAAUUGGAACAUUUUGGGAGGGUGGUUCCAUGGUGUUCGCAAGUGGAAGUAUUGUUUCAUCCAUCGUUGGGCUGCUUCGUGACGCAUUGUGGGUG
rnacentral:lncRNA from 1 species